UACGAAGGGGGCUAGCGUUGUUCGGAUUUACUGGGCGUAAAGCGCGUGUAGGCGGACUUCUAAGAUGGGGGUGAAAUCCCGAGGCUUAACCUCGGAACUGCCUUCAUGACUGGAAGUCUGGAGCAUGUCAGAGGCGAGUGGAAUUGCGAGUGUAGAGGUGAAAUUCGUAGAUAUUCGCAGGAACACCAGUGGCGAAGGCGACUCGCUGGGACAUUGCUGACGCUGAGACGCGAAAGCGUGGGGAGCAAACAGG
rnacentral:rRNA from 1 species